AGCGAACGCUGGCGGCAGGCCUAACACAUGCAAGUCGAACGAAGUCUUCGGACUUAGUGGCGGACGGGUGAGUAACACGUGGGAACGUGCCUUUAGGUUCGGAAUAACUCAGGGAAACUUGUGCUAAUACCGAAUGUGCCCUUCGGGGGAAAGAUUUAUCGCCUUUAGAGCGGCCCGAGUCUGAGUAGCUAGUUGGUGAGGUAAAGGCUCACCAAGGGGACGAUCAGUAGCUGGUCUGAGAGGAUGAUCAGCCACAUUGGGACUGAGACACGGCCCAAACUCCUACGGGAGGCAGCAGUGGGGAAUCUUGCGCAAUGGGCGAAAGCCUGACGCAGCCAUGCCGCGUGAAUGAUGAAGGUCUUAGGAUUGUAAAAUUCUUUCACCGGGGACGAUAAUGACGGUACCCGGAGAAGAAGCCCCGGCUAACUUCGUGCCAGCCGCCGCAGUAAUAC
rnacentral:rRNA from 1 species